UCCAGACUCCUACGGGAGGCAGCAGUGGGGAAUAUUGCACAAUGGGGGAACCCUGAUGCAGCGACGCCGCGUGAGUGAGGAAGUAUUUCGGUAUGUAAAGCUCUAUCAGCAGGGAAGAAAAUGACGGUACCUGACUAAGAAGCCCCGGCUAACUACGUGCCAGCAGCCGCGGUAAUACGUAGGGGGCAAGCGUUAUCCGGAUUUACUGGGUGUAAAGGGAGCGUAGACGGAAUAGCAAGUCUGAUGUGAAAACCCGGGGCUCAACUCCGGGAGUGCAUUGGAAACUGUUGAUCUAGAGUGUCGGAGAGGCAAGCGGAAUUCCUAGUGUAGCGGUGAAAUGCGUAGAUAUUAGGAGGAACACCAGUGGCGAAGGCGGCUUGCCGGACGAUGACUGACGUUGAGGCUCGAAAGCGGGGGGAGCAAACAGGAUUAGUACCCUAGUA
rnacentral:rRNA from 1 species